rnacentral:lncRNA from 1 species
GCACAGAAUAUGGAGUCUUAUUCUAAGACCAGACUGGCCUGGAAUUCACUCUGUAAUACGGGUUGGCCUUGAAAUGAUGGCAAUUCUGCUGACUCAGCCUGAUUUCAGAUAGCCCAGACAGGCCUUCUGAAUGGCUCUGUGGCCGAGAAUGGUUUGAGCUUCUGCUCCUCCUUUGUUCACAUCUCUAAGGUGAUGAUAUUACAUGAGUAUC